rnacentral:rRNA from 1 species
UGGGGAAUAUUGGACAAUGGGCGAAAGCCUGAUCCAGCCAUGCCGCGUGUGUGAAGAAGGUCUUCGGAUUGUAAAGCACUUUAAGCUGGGAGGAAGGGCAGUAAGCGAAUACCUUGCUGUUUUGACGUUACCGACAGAAUAAGCACCGGCUAACCCUGUGCCAGCAGCCGCGGUAAUACAGAGGGUGCAAGCGUUAAUCGGAAUUACUGGGCGUAAAGCGCGCGUAGGUGGUUCGUUAAGUUGAAUGUGAAAGCCCCGGGCUCAACCUGGGAACUGCAUCCAAAUCUGGCGAGCUAGAGUAGGGCAGAGGGUGGUGGAAUUUCAUGUGUAGCGGUGAAAUGCGUAGAUAUAGGAAGGAACACCAGUGGCGAAGGCGACCACCUGGGCUCAUACUGACACUGAGGUGCGAAAGCGUGGGGAGCAAACAGG